rnacentral:lncRNA from 1 species
CAGCACUCACCAGGAUGGUUCCGUCCACAUUUGGAACACGCAGGUCGGCCACCAGAGGUCUUGCCUCCGUCCACCCGGUCCCAUUUUCUCUUUUUAUCAUUAGUCUUGCCCGAUGGGCCUGACUGUGGCUUAGCCUUAAGCUUUGCUUCUUCAGCCAAGUUAGACGCCAACAAAGCCACCCGUUCCACUUCCAGUGGGUACCUAGAUGAGUAGGAUUUCGGUUUGAUCACACAUUUGGAAAAUGUCCCAUACCAUUCUCC